CAGUCGCCGCGGUAAUACGUAGGGUGCGAGCGUUAAUCGGAAUUACUGGGCGUAAAGCGUGCGCAGGCGGUUUGUUAAGACAGAUGUGAAAUCCCCGGGCUUAACCUGGGAACUGCAUUUGUGACUGGCCGGCUAGAGUAUGGCAGAGGGAGGUGGAAUUCCACGUGUAGCAGUGAAAUGCGUAGAUAUGUGGAGGAACACCGAUGGCGAAGGCAGCCUCCUGGGCCAAUACUGACGCUCAUGCACGAAAGCGUGGGGAGCAAACAGGAUUAGAUACCCGAGUAGUCCCUGUCUCUUAUAU
rnacentral:rRNA from 1 species